rnacentral:rRNA from 1 species
UACAGAGGUGGCAAGCGUUGUUCGGAAUUACUGGGCGUAAAGGGCGCGUAGGCGGCCCGCUAAGUCCCGUGUGAAAUCCCUCGGCUCAACUGAGGAACUGCACGGGAAACUGAUGGGCUUGAGUUCGGGAGAGGGAAGUGGAAUUCCGGGUGUAGCGGUGAAAUGCGCAGAUAUCCGGAGGAACACCGGUGGCGAAGGCGGCUUCCUGGACCGACACUGACGCUGAGGCGCGAAAGCUAGGGGAGCAAACGGG